UAUGUUUUCCCCAGGCAAUUCUUUUCACAGCUAAGCUUAUCGCCAAUACUAUACUUUCUAUUGAUUGAGACCCAGAAAUGCAAAGAAUAACUUCUUCUUAAUCAACAUUUACACUGUAGUCACAAGGGAAACUUCUCUGCAGAAACCUUAGCACCUACCCUAGCGUAACAAAGCUAGUCGCUGCAGGCCUAGGUUUACCGGGUGCGGGAAGCUGCAUCCAAGCAAGUAACCGGAGUCACAGAUCCUUUACGAAUUGCCUAUAGGUUUGAACCAGUGAACGUAGCAGCAGGUAUAAGUCUUCAAGUCAGCAGCAAGCGCAAGGCAAGGUUCCUUU
rnacentral:lncRNA from 1 species